AUGCCCAGUCACACGGCUCCUGUGGGCUGCAGCCGGGCUGUGACAGCGCCCCCGCCCCGACCCCGCCGGCCGCGCGGCCAGACCCUCCCAUUCAGCAGCCUGCCCCCCGGGGCUCCGCAGGGGUGGCCGCGCCCGAACACUGGACCCGGGCACGGGGAACUUCCAGCGCCAAGUUCCGGGGCCCCGGGUUCCCGCCCGGCGCCACCCGGCCGCCGGCCCCAGUACGGAGGGCGGGCUCGGGGAGACCGCUCCCGGCCCCGGGAGAGCACUCACCCGCCACGGCCACCGAGCCACCGCCGCCGCGCGCCCCGCCCCGCCCGCCGGGAGCAGUCCCGAGGCCCGCCGCGUGCUGGGGGGAGCCGCCGCCGCGCCCCCCGCGCGCCACGUGACGCGGCCCCGCCCUCAGCCACGCGAUUGGCUGCCGCGGCCGGCUCUGCGCGCCCCCAUUGGCCAGGGGGCGGGGCCGCGCCGGGGGGGGGGGCCGGGUUACAUAAGCGGAGGCGGGUGGGCGGGAGAUGGCCCCCGGGCACGUUCCAGAGCGCCGGGGGUCCGGCGGAGGGCGGCGUGCGGCCAAUCCCGGCGGGCCGGCGCGCAGCGGAGGGCUGGGCGGCCCCGAGGGGCCUGGGGCUGGGGCCGGGCCAGCCGAGCGCUCCGCCCCCUCACGGCGCCGGGAAAGGGAGGGGCGGAAGCCGGCUGCGGGGCGGGGAUAGGGCGCUCGAGCCGCCAAUCACGAGGGUCCGGGACCCGGGCGGGGUUGGCCCGCCUCCAGGUGAGGGGCGGGGGAGCCGGGCGGCUGCGAGCGCGGGUGGCGGGGGCCGCCAGCUCGCGGAUGGGGGCGCACCUGGGGCGCGGGUCGGGCGGCUCCCGGGCAGAGGGAAGAAGCGCGUCCGAGCUCCGUGUCUGCGCCGUCUCGUUCCCUUGUUUGCGUCUUGCUCAUCCUUCCUGCUCGGGCGCCCGCUGGUGCUUGAGGCUCCGAGAUGCUUGAGGCUCCGGGGGUCCGGGCAGUAA
rnacentral:lncRNA from 1 species